rnacentral:rRNA from 1 species
ACGCACGCUGGCGGCAGGCCUAACACAUGCAAGUCGAGCGCGCCCUUCGGGGUGAGCGGCGGACGGGUGAGUAACGCGUGGGAACGUGCCCUUUUCUACGGAAUAGCCUCGGGAAACUGAGAGUAAUACCGUAUACGCCCUUUGGGGGAAAGAUUUAUCGGAAAAGGAUCGGCCCGCGUUGGAUUAGGUAGUUGGUGGGGUAAUGGCCUACCAAGCCGACGAUCCAUAGCUGGUUUGAGAGGAUGAUCAGCCACACUGGGACUGAGACACGGCCCAGACUCCUACGGGAGGCAGCAGUGGGGAAUCUUAGACAAUGGGGGCAACCCUGAUCUAGCCAUGCCGCGUGAGUGAUGAAGGCCUUAGGGUUGUAAAGCUCUUUCAGCUGGGAAGAUAAUGACGGUACCAGCAGAAGAAGCCCCGGCUAACUCCGUG